rnacentral:misc_RNA from 1 species
GGAGCGGGCUUGCUCGCGAAGGCGGCAUAACAGCCAACAUUGAUAUUGAAUGUUAGUCAGUCUUCGCGAGCAAGCCCGCUCC